GAUUUGAACUCUGGACCUUUGGAAGAGCAGUCGGGUGCUCUUACCCACUGAGCCAUCUCACCAGCCCCUACAAAUCACUUUUUAAAAAUGAAAACUGAUGGUAAACAAGAACAUUAUCAAGGAGGAGGAGGAGGGAAGAUCUUGACAUAGCAUAGGACAAAAUUGUAAAAACAGAAACAUAACAGGGUACUUUGUGAGAUCACAGAAAAGUCUGGGCAAAGUGUAAGAAGUUCAGAAUUCCUUCCGAGAUAAAGGACUGGCACCUGCUGAGGUCAGCUCGGUCUUUGAAAGUUUCAUUAUAGGACUGGAGAUACGUCUUAGUAGCAAGAGUGUUUGCCUAGGUAAGUUCAAGGUUCAAUCCCCAAUACUGAGUAGAGACAACCUUUCUAUAUGGCUUGGUGUGGUGGCGCUCACCAACAACUCCAGUACCCGUAAGGUAAAGGCAGAAAUAUGUAGGGGCCAACCUGGCUGACACACUGAAGCCCUAAAUCAAAGGAGACCUCUCCCCACUGUCUGUAAAUCUUGCUCCAACCAAGAGAUCAGAUUGGGUUUGAUGACUUCACAUCCUACAUAUAAGGAAACAAUGUAUUCAUGGAAGUGGUUCAUUCUGUAGGGAAAAAAAAGGAACAAUAAAUUUAGGACCCCCUUCUCCCUUUGUGUAUUUAUGUGUACAUAAUGUGUAUGUUGGUGUAUGUGUGCAUGUGGACAUGCGUCAGGUGCCUUCCUUGAUAACUCUCCACCUUUUAUACUGAGGCAGGGUUUAUUGCUGGACACGGAGCUCAUCACUGCAGCCACUGCAGCCGUCUACUGCAGCCCAGCUCUUGUGUCUCUGUCCUCUGAGUGCUUGGGAUUAUAAGCAGCCACUACGCCUGCCCACUUUUCACCUGAGUUUUGAGGAUCCAAACUACAAUUUUCAUGAUGGUAGAGGCAAGUGCUUUAUCACUGAGCCAUUUCCCUACCUCUGGUGUGUCCGAAGACAGCUACAGUUUACUCAUAUACAAUCAAUCAAUCAAUCAAUCUUUAAAAAACAAAACAAAAUUGGAGUUUAAAUCUUCAGACUCUAUGUAAAGCCAGGCACAGUAAUAUUCACAUACUCACAAAUUAUAGAAGUCACCUCAUACCCACAAUAUUCAUUUCUAAAGGUUAAGAAAUUCACCAUCAAGUGGAAACCAAAAACACUAUACAGAAAAUUCCAGAAAUAAUUUCUACGAUUUAUUUAUUUUUUUUAAAUGUAUUUAUUGUUCUUUGUGAGUUCAAGGCCAGACUCAUCUGCAUAGCAAGUUGCAGGCCAGCCAAGGCUACAUAGUAAGCCUCCAUCUCAAAAAGACCAAAAAACCCAAAAGAAGAAAACCAAAACAAACAAUAAAUGGGACCAAUAAGAUAGUUCAGCUCAGCUGAUAAAACCAAGCCUGAUGAGUUGAGCUUGACCCACUCAUACACUCCCCAUAUGGUAAGAGAGAACCAAUACUUGUAAGUUGUUCUCUGACCUCUACAAGUGUGUCAUGUGUCUGCACAUGUACACACAAUCACACAAAAAAUAAAAUUAUGAUAAAUAUGUAUAAAUUACUGAGAUCUGAAGUAUGGCUAGUCAGGAAUUAGUAUGUAGGUAUAGAUAUGAUUCUUAAAAUUUAUUUUAAAAAGUGUAUCGUUAUUUUUUAAAUUCAUUUAAAAAUUUUCUACUGUGUGUGUGUGUGUACCAUUUGCGCAGGUAUUUUCAGGGUUCAGAAGAGGUCCUUGGAUACCAAGCAGAGAUUUAGUUGGUUGUGAGCCUCCAUGUGCAUACUAGGAACUGACUUCGGGCCCUCUGGAAGAGCAGCAAGCUCUCUUACACAUCAGCUAUCUCUUCUGCCCUCUCAUUACUUAUUUUUAUUGUCUAUAUUUAUUAGUAUUUUGCAUGUAAUGAGUUCAAUUAAAAUGUAGUAAAAAUUAACAAAAACAUUUGCCUAAAAAUUGAAGAGGUCCUCUUGAAUCACUUAAGCACAUAUAUGUACAUACAGCCAAUAUAAAUAAAAAUAUACAUAAAAUAUGUAUCUAUAGUUUUUUAAUUUUGUUGCCAACGCUUGGAGGAGGAAUCCAGGGCUCAGCAGAGGCAGAGUACACAUCCCCACUCCUGAGCCUAAUCUCUCCUCCCAGCGCUCACCCGUGCAGGUGGCAGGUGCCAGGUCCAUGAUGUGGAAGAACACUCGGCACACCCUUUAACGUGUAUCCAACGGCG
ensembl:lincRNA Gm26521 predicted gene, 26521